rnacentral:rRNA from 1 species
GGAUGCGAUCAUACCAGCACUAAAGCACCGGAUCCCAGCAGAAUUCCGAAGUUAAGCGUGCUUGGGCGAGAGUAGUACUAGGAUGGGUGACCUCCUGGGAAGUCCUCGUGUUGCAUUCC